rnacentral:misc_RNA from 1 species
GGAGGCCACAUUACCUGGACAUAUCCUGUUUGGUAAAGGCCUUGCAACAAGUCCGUCAGUAACCCAACCCAUUGAUACACUGUCGCUUUUGACAUGGCUGAAUUCCCAUUGUGUGUAUGCUAGAGAUAUUUGUAGCCUUCCCCCUGCUCUGCAAUCAGCAGAGGUACCACUUGCAUCAAGUCCUGCAUUACUCUCCAACCAGUACAAAUAAUUCACUUGGAAUAGUGCCUUGAGCAUGUCUUGUCCUGAACAACUUUCUUUAAGCACUACACAGAAUCUUCUGUUGUGUUCAGUCAAAAUGUAGCCUUCGUCUCUAUACAGAUUGAACAGUGCAAGCACUUCGUCCUUGUUUUUCACAAUAUCACUAAGCUUUGAGCCAAGCUGCAACCGCUUCUCAAU